rnacentral:lncRNA from 1 species
CGCUCUUCCUCGUGCCACCUGGGCACGUCAUUCAUUUCUCUUGGCUUCAGUGUCCUCAUCGCUAGAAUGAGGCUGUGGGAGGGGGCUUUGAGGACCCUCCCAGCUCUAAAGCCGUGAUCUUCCAUUCAAGGGUCCCACCAAGCAUGGCCCAAGGGGGGGCCGAGCUCCCCGGAGUGACCUGAAGGACAUCGAUCGGGUUAAAGAGCAGCACCGACUGGUGACGGCACAGUUGCAGGAUCUGUUUGGGGAGAGGCGAGAAAGGCCCGGCAGGGCUGGACAGCCCCCCAGAGAGUGGCCGGAGGGGAGCUCCGGGGACCAGGGGGCCAAGAAGCCCCAAGUGGAGCAGCUAAACUGAGGUUCUGCUGGCACUCUCGGGAGCCUGACAGCCUUCCUCACUUCGGUUUGCCAGGGUUCCAGUUCUUCUGGGAAACAUGGAAGGACCCUUUGCCUUCAGCCCUGGGGCUUUUUCCUUCACGAAUCCUUCGGAAAAGAAUACUAUCUAUUCGUGUAUCCUCUUCAUAUUGACGAGGCACUUUCUUCAUUACAACUUGGUGGGAGAGAUGGUUUUACCAUUUUCCAGAUAAGGAAACUGAGGCAAAAAGAGGUUAAGUGACUCACCCAGGGUCACCCAGCUAGUAAGAGUCUGAUCCGAAUCGGCGCUGGGGCCAUCAGAACUCCCAAGUGCAGAGCUCUUCGUGUG